UGGGGAAUUUUGGACAAUGGGCGAAANCCUGAUCCAGCAAUGCCGCGUGUGUGAAGAAGGCCUUCGGGUUGUAAAGCACUUUUGUCCGGAAAGAAAUCCUUGGCUCUAAUACAGUCGGGGGAUGACGGUACCGGAAGAAUAAGCACCGGCUAACUACGUGCCAGCAGCCGCGGUAAUACGUAGGGUGCAAGCGUUAAUCGGAAUUACUGGGCGUAAAGCGUGCGCAGGCGGUUUGCUAAGACCGAUGUGAAAUCCCCGGGCUCAACCUGGGAACUGCAUUGGUGACUGGCAGGCUAGAGUAUGGCAGAGGGGGGUAGAAUUCCACGUGUAGCAGUGAAAUGCGUAGAGAUGUGGAGGAAUACCGAUGGCGAAGGCAGCCCCCUGGGCCAAUACUGACGCUCAUGCACGAAAGCGUGGGGAGCAAACAGGAUUAGAUACCCUGGUAGUCCACGCCCUAAACGAUGUCAACUAGUUGUUGGGGAUUCAUUUCCUUAGUAACGUAGCUAACGCGUGAAGUUGACCGCCUGGGGAGUAC
rnacentral:rRNA from 1 species